UACAGGGGGUGCAAACGUUGCUCGGAAUUAUUGGGCGUAAAGCGCACGUAGGCGGUCUGUUAUGUCGGAUGUGAAAGCCCUUGGCUCAACUGAGGAAGUGCAUCCGAAACUGGCAGGCUAGAGUACGUAAGAGGGUCGCGGAAUUCCAGGUGUAGCGGUGAAAUGCGUAGAUAUCUGGAGGAACACCGGUGGCGAAGGCGGCAUCCUGGACCAAUAUUGACGCUGAGGAGCGAAAGCCAGGGGAGCAAACGGG
rnacentral:rRNA from 1 species